CGUUAAAAAUUUUAUCCAUUUUUACUGUUAAAAAAUGGUGUAACUAAUGGAAUAACAAGACACUGGCAUGUGACGCACCACAUGUAUGGUGUAUCUUAUGUUGACAUACAAUGACAAUUUUUUAACAGUAUAAAUGGAUGAAAUUUUUAGGA
rfam:Gossypium raimondii Chr07_contig_1146, whole genome shotgun sequence.